UAUCACUAAGCGGAGGAAAAGAAACUAACCAGGAUUCCCUUAGUAACGGCGAGUGAACAGGGAGAAGCCCAGCACCGAAGCAUGUGGUCCUCUGGCCACUAUGCAAUGUGGUGUUUAGGUCAAAUCGUGAAAAUACUGCUCCUCUCCAAGUCCGAUUAUGAGUACGGUGUUUUGGACAUGGCCCAAAGAGGGUGAAAGGCCCGUGGGAGAGGAGAUCAGGCAGGCCAGUUUUUUCAUGAGCAGACCUUGGAGUCGGGUUGUUUGAGAAUGCAGCCCAAAGUGGGUGGUAAACUCCAUCCAAGGCUAAAUACUUACACGAGUCCGAUAGCGAACAAGUACCGUGAGGGAAAGUUGAAAAGUACUUUGAAGAGAGAGUAAACAGUGCGUGAAGCCGCUCAGAGGUAAACGGGUGGAGUUGAACUGCGUGCUUUGAGGAUACAGCUGGUGAUUGUAUCAUGAUCUUGGUUAUUUUGGUUGCACCGCGGAAUCUGUGUAGCAGCAGGUUUUUGCCUUCGGGUAAGAAUGCGCGAUUCAUUCACCAAUGAAGUGCGUUCCGUGUGUGUGAAUCAGUUGCCAGUGCAGUUUCUCGAAGUUUUCAUCACGACCAGCUUUGCUGUCUGAUUGUCAUGGUUAAACCGGUUAGGCAUUGUCCUUGUGGCAUUGCUUGAUCGGGAGGGCAGGUAGCUUGUUGGCUUGCUUGUGGUUCGCUGCAGGUAUUUGGCUUUCGAGUGUAAUCAGCUGACCAUGAUGGUUUUGUGCAGUGUGCUGGAGACCGCGGCUUGUGAUGUGUGCGUGCAUGGUAGUCUGCAGGCGUGAUCGGGUCUGGUUGCCAAGUUGUCUGUUUACGCAGGCCUGGUGAUGUCUCGAACACGUCCCGUGGAUUUCCAUGUGUGUGACAUCUUUACAGGGCCAAUAGUCAGUGAUGUUGUGGUAGAUUAUCCACCCGACCCGUCUUGAAACACGGACCAAGGAGAUUAACAUGUGCGCGAGUCAUUGGGCGUAACGAAACCCAAAGGCGAAGUGAAAGUGAAGGUUUGGCUUGUCCAGACUUUGGUGAGAUCCCAUUGUUUCCAUACAUGGUGCUACCAAGUAACGAGCAGUGGGCGCAUCACCUGCCCGUCCCAUGACGUAGACGUGGUCUUUAGACCUACGCAUCGUCGGGUCGGAGCAUGAGCGUACAUGUCGAGACCCGAAAGAUGGUGAACUAUACUUGCGUAGGUUGAAGCCAGGGGAAACUCUGGUGGAAGACCGUAGCGGUUCUGACGUGCAAAUCGAUCGUCAAACGUGAGUAUAGGGGCGAAAGACUAAUCGAACCAUCUAGUAGCUGGUUCCCUCC
rnacentral:rRNA from 1 species